AUAUUUAAUGCAAGAUCCAUUUUAAAUUUAACAAGGAUGAUAAAAUGUUCAACUUCUGUGUUGCAUCACCCCAUUCUGGUUAGUUGGAAAACUAGGGCGACAAUGGAGAAGAUGGUCAAGACCCAACUGAGAUUAUUUUAAGUAAAUGGGAAAGGGGUGGGAAAUGAGGAUAUUUUAAUCCCGCUCUGUUUGUUGCCAUACCUAAGAGUUAAAUACAUUGCUUUGUUUGAUCACACAGUUUUAAAAAGUAAAAGAAAGAGAAGUACUUAUAAGCAGAUUUCCAUUAGUUUUCAUUAACUAUUUUGCUUCAGUACUAAUGUGCCAGCUCUUGAAUGAGAGUAGGUUUUUCAAUUACAAGGGGGAUAAGAAGUUAUGAUCCUAAAGAAGUAUCAGACAACGGUCGAGGAAUAACAAGAUUGAACUCUCAUCUUAGCUUUAGAAGGUCAGAAACAUCUUCUC
rnacentral:lncRNA from 1 species